rnacentral:lncRNA from 1 species
CGACGUUGGUGACCGCGUUAACGCUGAGCACCGCGCUGACCCCUCCGGCCACCGCAGUGACCCCGCUGACCCCUCCGGCCACACCGCUGACCGGUCCGGUUACCGCACUGACCCCUCCGGCCACCGCAGUGACCCCUCCGGUCACCCCGCUGACCACUCCGGACACCGCGCUGACCCCGCUGACCCCUCCGGACACCGCACUGACCCCUCCGGCCACCCCGCUGACCGCUCCAGACACCGCACUGACCCCGCUGACCCCGCUGACCGCUCCGGCCACCCCGCCGAGCACCGCGCUGACCGCUCCGGGCGCCGCAUUCACCGCCACGGCCAAAGCACCGGGCAGGGCGGCGGGGGCCGCGCUCAGCCCGUUGGGCACGGCCGGAGCCCCGGGGCGGGCCGGGGCCGGGAGCGGGGCCGGGAGCGGGGCAGGAACCGGGGCAGGAACCGGGGCAGGAACCGGGGCAGGAACCGGUCCCGUUGCCGUUGCCGGUGCCGUUGCCGGCUCGCUGUCGGCGGCGCGGUGGCAGCGGCGGUGCCGCACCAGGCUGGAGCCGUGGCUGUAGGCGCGGCCGCAGGUGCGGCACUCGUAGGGCCGGGGCUCGGCGGGGCUGCCGUGCUCCUGCAUGUGCUGCACCAGGUGCGAGGCCUGGCGGAACGCCUUGGGGCAGGCGGCGCACGGGAAGCGCCGCUCCACCAGGUACUUGAGGCGCCUGAAGUAGCCGCGCUCCUGGCGGGGCUCCGGGGCCCGCUUCAGCCCCCCGAGGAGGUGCUGGUGGCCGGACAGGUCCACGAUGCCCCACUGCGGAGCGGGGAACGCGGCCCCCGCCUCCAGCAGCGGCUGCGGGGGCGGCGGCAGCGGCGGCGCCGCCAACGGAGCCGCCCCCAGGGAGCCCUCGGGCUUUUUGGGGUGCGCGGAGGAGGAGGAGGAGGAGGAGGAGGAAGGGGGGAGCGCGGGGGGCUCGGCUUUGUGCUUGGGGAGGGGCCCGCGCUCGAAGGGCGGCGCGGCGGCGGCCGGGGGGUACUCGAAGGGCCCCGGGGGCAGCGGCAGCGCCUUGGCCGGGGGCUCGAAGGGCUCGGGCGGCUCCGGCCGCGGGUGCGUCAGGAAGUCCAGGAAAUCGAAGGGGUACGCGGGGAAGUGCCCGCUCUCGUCGCUCACGUUCGCCUCCAUGGCCGGGGCGCUGCCGGGGGUCGCGGAGCCCCGGGAAGGGCCCGGGGAAGGGNNNNNNNNNNNNNNNNNNNNNNNNNNNNNNNNNNNNNNNNNNNNNNNNNNNNNNNNNNNNNN